GAUGAACGCUGGCGGCGUGCCUAAUACAUGCAAGUCGAGCGAACGGACGAGAAGCUUGCUUCUCUGAUGUUAGCGGCGGACGGGUGAGUAACACGUGGAUAACCUACCUAUAAGACUGGGAUAACUUCGGGAAACCGGAGCUAAUACCGGAUGAUAUUUUGAACCGCAUGGUUCAAAAGUGAAAGACGGUCUUGCUGUCACUUAUAGAUGGAUCCGCGCUGCAUUAGCUAGUUGGUAAGGUAACGGCUUACCAAGGCAACGAUGCAUAGCCGACCUGAGAGGGUGAUCGGCCACACUGGAACUGAGACACGGUCAAGACUCCUACGGGAGGCAGCAGUAGGGAACCUUCCGCAAUGGGCGAAAGCCUGACGGAGCAACGCCGCGUGAGUGAUGAAGGUCUUCGGAUCGUAAAACUCUGUUAUUAGGGAAGAACAUAUGUGUAAGUAACUGUGCACAUCUUGACGGUACCUAAUCAGAAAGCCACGGCUAACUACGUG
rnacentral:rRNA from 1 species